GACGAACGCUGGCGGCGUGCUUAACACAUGCAAGUCGAACGGAAAGGCCCUGCUUUUGUGGGGUGCUCGAGUGGCGAACGGGUGAGUAACACGUGAGUAACCUGCCCUUGACUUUGGGAUAACUUCAGGAGACUGGGGCUAAUACCGGAUAGGAGCUCCUGCUGCAUGGUGGGGGUUGGAAAGUUUCGGCGGUUGGGGAUGGACUCGCGGCUUAUCAGCUUGUUGGUGGGGUAGUGGCUUACCAAGGCUUUGACGGGUAGCCGGCCUGAGAGGGUGACCGGCCACAUUGGGACUGAGAUACGGCCCAGACUCCUACGGGCGGCAGCAGUGGGGAAUAUUGCACAAUGGGCGGAAGCCUGAUGCAGCAACGCCGCGUGCGGGAUGACGGCCUUCGGGUUGUAAACCGCUUUCGCCUGUGACGAAGCGUGAGUGACGGUAAUGGGUAAAGAAGCACCGGCUAACUACGUG
rnacentral:rRNA from 1 species